rnacentral:rRNA from 1 species
UACAGAGGAGCCAAGCGUUGUCCGGAUUGACUGGGCGUAAAGCGCACGCAGGCGGUUGCGCGCGUGGGGGGUGAAAUCUGGCCGCUUAACGGCCAGGCGCCAUCCCAUACGGCGCGACUGGAGUGAUGCAGAGGUCGAUGGAACUGCGAGUGUAGAGGUGAAAUUCGUAGAUAUUCGCAAGAACACCAGUGGCGAAGGCGGCUCACUGGCCCGAUACUGACGCUGAGGCACGAAAGCGUGGGGAGCAAACAGG